rnacentral:rRNA from 1 species
CCUACGGGGGGCUGCAGUGAGGAAUAUUGGUCAAUGGGCUUACGCCUGAACCAGCCAAGUCGCGUGAGGGAAGACUGCCCUAUGGGUUGUAAACCUCUUUUGUCAGGGAGCAAUUGUCGCUACGUGUAGCGUUAUCGAGAGUACCUGAAGAAAAAGCAUCGGCUAACUCCGUUCCAGCAGCCGCGGUAAUACGGAGGAUGCGAGCGUUAUCCGGAUUUAUUGGGUUUAAAGGGUGCGUAGGCGGAGUUUCAAGUCAGCGGUAAAAUUUCGGGGCUCAACCCCGUCGUGCCGUUGAAACUGACGCCCUUGAGUGAGUGAGAAGUAAGCGGAAUGCGUGGUGUAGCGGUGAAAUGCAUAGAUAUCACGCAGAACGCCGAUUGCGAAGGCAGCUUACCGGCGCUCAACUGACGCUGAGGCACGAAAGUGCGGGUAUCGAACAGGAUUAGAUACCCUAGUAGUC